AAUAGAUACCCGGGUAGUCCACCCCGUAAACGUUGGGAACUAGUUGUGGGGUCCUUUCCACGGAUUCCGUGACGCAGCUAACGCAUUAAGUUCCCCGCCUGGGGAGUACGGCCGCAAGGCUAAAACUCAAAGGAAUUGACGGGGACCCGCACAAGCGGCGGAGCAUGCGGAUUAAUUCGAUGCAACGCGAAGAACCUUACCAAGGCUUGACAUACACCAGAACACUCUAGAAAUAGGGGACUCUUUGGACACUGGUGAACAGGUGGUGCAUGGUUGUCGUCAGCUCGUGUCGUGAGAUGUUGGGUUAAGUCCCGCAACGAGCGCAACCCUCGUUCUAUGUUGCCAGCACGUAAUGGUGGGAACUCAUGGGAUACUGCCGGGGUCAACUCGGAGGAAGGUGGGGAUGACGUCAAAUCAUCAUGCCCCUUAUGUCUUGGGCUUCACGCAUGCUACAAUGGCCGGUACAAAGGGCUGCAAUACCGUGAGGUGGAGCGAAUCCCAAAAAGCCGGUCCCAGUUCGGAUUGAGGUCUGCAACUCGACCUCA
rnacentral:rRNA from 1 species